rnacentral:rRNA from 1 species
GAUGAACGCUAGCUACAGGCUUAACACAUGCAAGUCGAGGGGAAACGACAUCGAAAGCUUGCUUUUGAUGGGCGUCGACCGGCGCACGGGUGAGUAACGCGUAUCCAACCUGCCCAUCACUUGGGAAUAACCUUGCGAAAGUAAGACUAAUACCCAAUGACAUCCCACGAAGACAUCUGAAUGGGAUUAAAGAUUUAUCGGUGAUGGAUGGGGAUGCGUCUGAUUAGCUUGUUGGCGGGGUAACGGCCCACCAAGGCAACGAUCAGUAGGGGUUCUGAGAGGAAGGUCCCCCACAUUGGAACUGAGACACGGUCCAAACUCCUACGGGGGGCAGCAGUGAGGAAUAUUGGUCAAUGGGCGAGAGCCUGAACCAGCCAAGUAGCGUGCAGGAUGACGGCCCUAUGGGUUGUAAACUGCUUUUAGAAGGGAAUAAAGUGGGUCUCGUGAGACUUUUUGCAUGUACCUUAUGAAUAAGGACCGGCUAAUUCCGUG